rnacentral:rRNA from 1 species
UACGUAGGUGGCAAGCGUUGUCCGGAUUUAUUGGGUUUAAAGGGUGCGUAGGCGGUCUAUUAAGUCAGUUGUGAAAUACGGCAGCUCAACUGUCGAGGUGCAAUUGAUACUGAUGGACUUGAGUACUGAUGAGGUAAGCGGAAUGGACGGUGUAGCGGUGAAAUGCUUAGAUAUCGUCCAGAACGCCGAUAGCGAAGGCAGCUUCCUGGACAAUUGCUGACGCUCAGGCACGAAAGCGUGGGGAGCAAAAGGG